CACGUGGGCAAUCUGCCCUGCACUCUGGGACAAGCCCUGGAAACGGGGUCUAAUACCGGAUGACACUUCCUUCCGCAUGGGAGGAGGUUGAAAGCUCCGGCGGUGCAGGAUGAGCCCGCGGCCUAUCAGCUUGUUGGUGGGGUGAUGGCCUACCAAGGCGACGACGGGUAGCCGGCCUGAGAGGGCGACCGGCCACACUGGGACUGAGACACGGCCCAGACUCCUACGGGAGGCAGCAGUGGGGAAUAUUGCACAAUGGGCGAAAGCCUGAUGCAGCGACGCCGCGUGAGGGAUGACGGCCUUCGGGUUGUAAACCUCUUUCAGCAGGGAAGAAGCGAAAGUGACGGUACCUGCAGAAGAAGCGCCGGCUAACUACGUGCCAGCAGCCGCGGUAAUACGUAGGGCGCAAGCGUUGUCCGGAAUUAUUGGGCGUAAAGAGCUCGUAGGCGGCUUGUCACGUCGGAUGUGAAAGCCCGGGGCUUAACCCCGGGUCUGCAUUCGAUACGGGCAGGCUAGAGUGUGGUAGGGGAGAUCGGAAUUCCUGGUGUAGCGGUGAAAUGCGCAGAUAUCAGGAGGAACACCGGUGGCGAAGGCGGAUCUCUGGGCCAUUACUGACGCUGAGGAGCGAAAGCGUGGGGAGCGAACAGGAUUAGAUACCCUGGUAGUCCACGCCGUAAACGUUGGGAACUAGGUGUUGGCGACAUUCCACGUCGUCGGUGCCGCAGCUAACGCAUUAAGUUCCCCGCCUG
rnacentral:rRNA from 1 species